UUCUAUGACAUCACAGCCAUUACACUGUAGCUACGACAACAAGUUAAGGAAGUCAACAGAAGAGAGUUUUGAUCCAGCUCAGGCACACUGUGUAUUGAUACAAGCAGCAGAGUCAUUGCCAUUGGAAUGUCAGACAAGCUCUUGCUCCAGAUACGGAGAGAAUGGUAUUCAAGCAUAGCUCAUCCAUAGACGUGGAAGUUGUUUUCCAGCAUGCAAGAAGUACUAUUCAGCUGUGGAGAAGAACUCAUUCUGUCCGAGUUUCUAUUUUCCAUCAAACCAGGAGUUCAAGAAUUUCCUCCCUUGAAGAACCUACAGUCUUAUGACAAUCCAUCUUGUCAUAAUGAGACAUUCAUCUUCUGGAGACUGGGAAAUCUACAUUCAAGAUUGCUCACCUUUUCUUUUUUUAAGCCUACUGUAAGUAAUACAGUAAAUCAUUUAUUGAAUGGACUUUUCCCUUCCUUACUCCCUCCCAAACACCUUCCUAACCGUAACCUACUCCCUCAUGAGACAACAUGGUCAAACCUUCCACCCAACACUCAGCAUCUGUAUCAUCUCUUUGGGAUGGUGAAAAUAUUCUUCAACCAAUCACACUUGUAUGCUCCUUCACUACUCAGGAUUGAGAUCCACAAAUUAGACUAGAAACUCUGUGAUGAGGAGGAAUGGCUGCCCAUCCGCACAGCUUUAGGUACAGUAGGAGGG